UACGAAGGUGGCAAGCGUUACUCGGAAUGACUAGGCGUAAAGGGCAGGUAGGUGGUUUGGUAAGUCUGUUGUGAAAGCUCCUGGCUCAACUGGGAGAGGCCAACAGAUACUGCCGGACUUGAGUGUGGGAGAGGGUACUGGAAUUCCCGGUGUAGCGGUGAAAUGCGCAGAUAUCGGGAGGAACACCAAUGGCGAAAGCAAGUACCUGGACCAUUACUGACACUCAGCUGCGAAAGCUAGGGGAGCAAACAGG
rnacentral:rRNA from 1 species